rnacentral:lncRNA from 1 species
GCUGCGGAGACUCAAAGUCUUCUACAACUGCUCCAGGAGCAAAAUCAGAGCAGCAUUGAGCUGGAAAGACAAAGCGAGGAGAGGCGAGCUCAGCUCCAACAAGAGGUUUGAGCAUGUUUCACCGUAGCUGUGCAGUUAGUCAACCAACCUUGAGCCAGUAUUCUCUUGAUUCAGUAAACCUUUUAAGAAGUAAUAUCACACCCUCUGAUGUGCUUUUCUUACUCUAAGGUUGCAGAGAAGCAGUGUCUUCUACAGUCUCUCCAGGAGGAGCUGAACCAGCAGAAGCACAAACACUCUGAUCUGCUGAAACAGUGUGAGGAGAGGGAACGUGACUCACAGCAGCAAGUGAGUAAAGUGAGAAAGUAAAGGAAGGGUAUGUUUAAACCUGAUCUGUGAGUGUUCUCACUGUUGGUUGCUAUGUUGCCAUUUAAACAGACAAAGUCUCUCAGCGAACAGCUGGAGAGUGCUCGAGCAGAGAGGGACAGCCUGCUCUGUGAGAAGGACGCUGGCUGCCGGGGCUCCUCGGAGGAGAAGCAGCAGCAGCAGCAGCAGCAGCAGCAGCAGCUGCUGAGCAGAGUGACAUCUCUCUGCGAGGAGAGCGAUCAGCUGCAGGAGACCCUGCAGGGACUGAGGCAGGAUAGGCAGCAGCUCAGAGCAGAGCUGGAGGACAAGAUAGAGACGGUAAUAACCUGGUCCUUCUGGUAUUGUUAGCACGUGUGUCUGUAUAAUCAAAGUUCCAUCCCAGAACACAGUGAGGUCACACUGUGCUGUUCUCUUCCUGUCCUGCAGAUGCAGUGUGACUUCCAGUUGCAGCUCAGCAACAGAGUAGAAACAAUGAAGACUCUAACAGAGAAGCUGGAGCUCAGUGAGUCAGAGAGAGACCGUCUGCUGUGUGAGGAGGAAGCCAGCUGUCAGAGAGUGACGUGUCUCAGUGAGGAGAGGGAUCAGCUGCAGGAGACACUGCUGCAGCUCAGAGCAGAGCUGGAGACACUGCAGACUGAGGCCUCUACAACACAAGAGCUUCUACAGUCAGUCCAAGAGGAGCUGUGUGAACAGCAGCAGCUGAACUCUGACCUGCAGAGACUGAAUGAGGAGAAGGAGAGUUCUCUAGAUCAACAGAUAAAGACUCUAACAGAGAAGCUGGAGAUCAUUGAGUCAGAGAGAGACGGUCUGCUGUGCGAGGAGGAAGCCAGCUGUCAGAGAGUGACAUGUGUCAGCGAGGAGAGGGAUGAGCUGCAGGAGACACUGCUGCAGCUCAGAGCAGAGCUGGAGGACAAGAUGGAGACGGUACAGUUCUGCUGUUCUAGUCAUCGGUCAUCCGACUGCAGUUUCUUAAAGCAGCACUUGAAUUGA